rnacentral:rRNA from 1 species
CAGAGGUCUCAAGCGUUGUUCGGAUUCAUUGGGCGUAAAGGGUGCGUAGGCGGCAGUGCAAGUCAGGUGUGAAAUCCCGGGGCUCAACCCCGGAACUGCACUUGAUACUGCUCUGCUAGAGUACUGGAGAGGAGACUGGAAUUUACGGUGUAGCAGUGAAAUGCGUAGAUAUCGUAAGGAAGACCAGUGGCGAAGGCGAGUCUCUGGACAGUUACUGACGCUGAGGCACGAAGGCCAGGGGAGCAAACGGGAUUAGAUACCCCGGUAGUCCUGGCAGUAAACGGUGCGCGUUUGGUGUGGGAGGAUUCGACCCCUUCCGUGCCGGAGCUAACGCGUUAAACGCGCCGCCUGGGGAGUACGGUCGCAAGAUUA